rnacentral:rRNA from 1 species
CCUACGGGAGGCGGCAGUGAGGAAUAUUGGUCAAUGGACGAGAGUCUGAACCAGCCAAGUAGCGUGAAGGAUGACUGCCCUAUGGGUUGUAAACUUCUUUUAUAUGGGAAUAAAAUGUUCCACGUGUGGGAUUUUGUAUGUACCAUAUGAAUAAGGAUCGGCUAACUCCGUGCCAGCAGCCGCGGUAAUACGGAGGAUCCGAGCGUUAUCCGGAUUUAUUGGGUUUAAAGGGAGCGUAGGUGGAUUGUUAAGUCAGUUGUGAAAGUUUGCGGCACAACCGUAAAAUUGCAGUUGAAACUGGCAGUCUUGAGUACAGUAGAGGUGGGCGGAAUUCGUGGUGUAGCGGUGAAAUGCUUAGAUAUCACGAAGAACUCCGAUUGCGAAGGCAGUUCACUGGACUGCAACUGACACUGAGGCUCGAAAGUGUGGGUAUCAAACAGGAUUAGAUACCCCUGUAGUC